rnacentral:rRNA from 1 species
GAGGAAUAUUGGUCAAUGGACGGAAGUCUGAACCAGCCAAGUAGCGUGCAGGAAGACGGCCCUAUGGGUUGUAAACUGCUUUUGUAUGGGGAUAAAGUCAAUCACGUGUGAUUGUUUGCAGGUACCAUACGAAUAAGGACCGGCUAAUUCCGUGCCAGCAGCCGCGGUAAUACGGAAGGUUCGGGCGUUAUCCGGAUUUAUUGGGUUUAAAGGGAGCGUAGGCCGGAGAUUAAGUGUGUUGUGAAAUGUAGACGCUCAACGUCUGACUUGCAGCGCAUACUGGUUUCCUUGAGUACGCACAACGUUGGCGGAAUUCGUCGUGUAGCGGUGAAAUGCUUAGAUAUGACGAAGAACUCCGAUUGCGAAGGCAGCUGACGGGAGCGCAACUGACGCUUAAGCUCGAAGGUGCGGGUAUCAAACAGGAUUAGAUACCCUGGUAGUCCGCACAGUAAACGAUGGAUGCCCGCUGUUGGUACCUGGUAUCAGCGGCUAAGCGAAAGCAUUAAGCAUCCCACCUGGGGAGUACGCCGGCAACGGUG